rnacentral:lncRNA from 1 species
UGUUGACGAUUUUGUGCCGAAUCUGAGCCGUUGAAUUUGACGAUUCCACCACCAAUGCAACUCAGAUCCCGUCAAUUUAGUCCAUCUGUUUACCCCUUUCUGAGCCCUAGUAGAUCCGUGUAGAAAUUUGUCGGUACUCGAUUGGAUUUGGAGAUUAUAAAUUUUCUGCGGUUCAAUCGGGGUUUUGUGAAUUGAAUUCGGUUGAAGAUGGUGGCGGCGAAAUCUCAGGGGCGGCUGUUCACGAUCGGGCUGGUGGCGUCGUGGUACUCGUCGAACAUUGGGGUUUUGCUGCUGAACAAGUAUUUGCUGAGCAAUUACGGGUUCAAGUACCCGAUUUUCUUGACGAUGUGCCACAUGACGGCGUGCUCGUUGCUCAGCUACAUCGCGAUCGCGUGGAUGAAGAUGGUGCCGAUGCAGACGAUAAGAUCUAGGGUUCAGUUCAUGAAGAUCUCGGCGCUCAGCUUGAUCUUCUGCGCUUCCGUUGUCAGCGGCAACAUCUCGCUCAAGUACCUGCCCGUGAGCUUCAAUCAGGCGAUUGGCGCCACGACGCCGUUUUUCACUGCGGUGUUUGCGUACUUGAUGACGCUCAAGAGGGAAGCGUGGUUGACUUAUUUUACAUUGGUUCCUGUAGUUACUGGAGUUGUCAUCGCGAGUGGGGUAUGUCUGUUUCCUUUGAUUGAAUUGUGGUUUGUUUAAUUUGGUGUUUGUUUUCGUAUUUCAGUGUCUCUUGAUACGGGUACCUUUUUCUAUUGAUUGAUAUCAUUGUGUUAAUUGAGCCUGAUUGCGACUGCUUGGGGUUGAUUUGUUGCAAUCCACCUGUUAAAGAAUUGUUCUGCUAAUUUAGGUUGUGUGUUUGAUUAAAUGCCCCCCUUCUGCAUUUUGGGAAAAAGGGCUUCCUUUGUGUUCCAGCAAACUGAUGUUCAUCAAUUUUAGGUGCUUAUUAAGUAGUUCAUGUAUUAAAGCCAUAUAAGUAGUUCAUGUACUAUGUAUUCUAAUGUCCUCGGCACACUGCUCCCAAGUUUUCUAUUUUACUAUGUGCCGGUGAAACUCAAAUUCUUUUCUGAUUGACUUCCUCUUUGAUUGGUGUAGGGUGAGCCUAGUUUCCAUUUAUUCGGGUUUAUCAUGUGUAUUGGUGCAACAGCUGCAAGGGCACUCAAGUCAGUGGUUCAGGGUAUUUUGCUUUCUUCUGAAGGGUAAAAAAAUUUCUACACUCAGGCAAAACUAUAUAUUCUUGUGAAUUUAUCAUAGGGCUAAGUUACUUGUGUGCUAUAUUAUUACUUUUGUAAUCUGAAAGUCCUCUUUCUGUCUGAAGGGAAAAGCUGAAUUCUAUGAAUCUGCUCCUCUAUAUGGCUCCUAUAGCUGUAGUACUUCUACUUCCUGUAACACUCCUCAUGGAAGAAAAUGUUGUUGGCAUCACAUUGGCCCUAGCAAGAGAGGAUUUCAGAAUUAUUUGGUUACUGCUGUUCAAUUCCGCGCUUGCAUAUUUUGUAAAUUUGACAAAUUUUCUGGUCACGAAGCACACCAGUGCCCUCACUCUUCAGGUACUUCUUUCCCAGUAAACCUACAGUCCAGUUCGUGGCGAUAUGUUAUAAAUCAAUGUUUUUGCUUAUCUUAUGNUAAAAAAAAACAAUAAAAAUAAAAAUAAUAAUAUUUAUUGAAAUUACCGACGGAAUAUUCCGUCGGUAAUCCGUCGGUAAAACAUAAAAAUAAUUAUUAAAUUCGAAAUUACCCAAUUUUCCGACGGAGUUUAAUCCGUCGGUAGAGAUUCCAUCGGUAUUCCGUCGGUAAAAAAUAAAAAUAAUUAUUAAAAUCGAAAAUACUCAAUUUACCGACGGAUAUUGUCCGUCGGUCGUGAUUCCGUCAGUAGUCCGUCGAUAUGAAAUAAUUCAUCUAUCCACAUUGACACAGAGUUUAAAAAAACUUGUACUAGUGAGUGAAUAAAAGAGUCCACAAAUUAAUUAAAUUAGUGAGUGAAGAAAGAGGCCCCCAAGUUAAUAAGUGGAAAAAGGAAUUCACAAAUUAUUAUAUUAAAGAUUAUGAUAUUUUUUUAUGAACAUAUUAAAAUGAUAUAUUAUGAUAUUUUUUCGUGAACGAAAAGAGUACUUUUUAUUUAUUUAUUUAUGGGAAUACAACAAAUGAGUAUUCUCAAGGCCAGCCCUGAAGGGCCUAGGCGAUGGUCCAGUGCAUCAAGAUUUUGGGCCUCAAACUUUAAACAAUACUCCCUCCGUCCCAGCUUUUUGUAUCCACUUUUAGUUGUAUUUACAACUAAAAGUGGAUACAAAAAGCUGGGACGGAGGGAGUAUAUUUUUAUAUUUAAUUAUUAAGAUCAUUUUUUUUUAAUUAUUGUGAGUGAUGAUGGUUCAAUAUCCUCUAAGUCUAAAUAACAAUGACCAUUUGAUGGGGCGGUCGACCCUCAUCUUAUCAAUUAACUAAAAAAAACUAAUUCAUCUAGUCAACCAACCAUGGUAAAUCACCCAUCCUCAAUAAAUCACGAGGUCUCUCUCUCUCCAUUUCUUUCGUGACAAGUGUCAAUUUAUAUUCUGAAUUAUCGAAAAUAAUUUUUUAAACCUUGAGCUAUUAGUUUUGUAUCAAUUAUACGAUUCAUCAAUUUUUUAUGCUUUAAAUUUUCAAUUAGUAAGGCAUAUAAUAAUGGUGUCGUCUUAUAUAAUGUAGGUUAAGAAAAGAAUAAUUCUAAAUAAAUCGUGGCAUCCGACGAGGCGCAUCAAUUUUUUGAAAGUUCAAGGUUUAAAAAGAUAUUUUCAAUAGUUCAGAAAUAAUUGNUCUAUAAUUCUAUUAUUUAUUUUUGAAACAAAAAUAUCAAAUAGAAUCUUCAGUUUCCCUUUCUUAUAGCCUUUAAUAAUUUUCUUUUGAUCUCCAUUGUAUUUUCUUUCUAUAUUUCCAUUUCUUUUUCUUCGAACUCAUCGCAUGGGAUCUUUACUAAUGUGCUCAAGACGUCAAAUUUAUUUAUUUUAAUUUUUAAAUAUGUAUAUCAUCCCACAAAAGACAAUAAUCGCAGUGCAAAAUAGGGAAUCAUUAAUUUUACAUUUAUUCACGAAUAAUAAAAGCUACAUAUUAUAAAAUCCAUCAAAUAUAGCACAUAAUAAAAUAAUAAUAUUAGAGAGAAAAUCUGCAAAAGUGGUGGCCUAAUUGCAGUUGGCAAGUUGUCAUUGUAUGCUCAAAAGUCCACAUCCAAUCCGGCAAUUCCUCAAUUAACAAUUAAUUCUCAAUUAAAUUAAUAAUUACCCCAAAUAUUAAGUCAAAUUCUGUUGUAUGUUUUUUGUGGGAAAAUUAUUUUGUAUGUUACGACAGUCUACAUGCGAAGACGUUUCACCGAAUCUUCCAAUACGAGUUUAUUUUUUUUAGGGGCCAAUUUGAAAGCUUUUAAAAUUAAAUAAACUAUAAACUAUUCCAUUUGGUGAUUAAUGUUCAUAAUUAUUCGUAAUUAAUCAAAUUAAUAAACCCUCUCCAAACCAAAUUCUUCGUCGGUCAUCUUCACACCUCCAGAAACACGCACACCACGCGAAAUUUCUCUCCUUAUUUUCUGCUCUCUCUUCAGCAAUUAAGCAUUUAUGCGAGGUUUAAGCUUCAUGAUUUUUUGAGCUCUCUUCGAAUUAUUUUUUCUGUGUUGACGAUUUUGUGCCGAAUCUGAGCCGUUGAAUUUGACGAUUCCACCACCAAUGCAACUCAGAUCCCGUCAAUUUAGUCCAUCUGUUUACCCCUUUCUGAGCCCUAGUAGAUCCGUGUAGAAAUUUGUCGGUACUGGAUUGGAUUUGGAGAUUAUAAAUUUUCUGCGGUUCAAUCGGGGUUUUGUGAAUUGAAUUCGGUUGAAGAUGG